AGGACAAACGCUGGCGGCGUACUUAAGACAUGCAAGUCGAACGGGCGCUUCACCUUCGGGUGGGUGUGCUAGUGGCGGACGGGUGAGUAACGCGUAGGAACCUGUCAUCAAGAGGGGGAUAACGCUGGGAAACCGGCGCUAAUACCGCAUGUGGUCAUGAAAAUGAAGAAGGCAGCAAUGCGCUUGAUGAGGGGCCUGCGUCCGAUUAGCUUGUUGGUGGGGUAAAGGCCUACCAAGGCAUCGAUCGGUAGCUGGUCUGAGAGGAUGGUCAGCCACACUGGGACUGAGACACGGCCCAGACUCCUACGGGAGGCAGCAGUUAGGAAAUUUUCCCAAUGGGCGCAAGCCUGAGGGAGUAACGCCGCGUGGAGGAUGACGGCUUUCGGGUUGUAAACUCCUUUUCUGUGGGAAGAGUAGAAGACGGUACCGCAGGAAUAAGCCUCGGCUAACUACGUGCCAGCAGCCGC
rnacentral:rRNA from 1 species